GCCCUGUGUGCUGUCUGUUGGUGCAAAAAUUCACCUACGUCGGAGAAGCUGGAGUCGAGGGAGUCGCGGUCGCCAUCGGGACCUACAAAAGAAGUCUAAACCGGAGAUGGGGUUGCUCCGACAAGACCCUCCGACGCUCAAGUCAGUUCUCUGCCUCAACAAGAAUGGAGUGCUCGAACGAAAAUUUUAGCAGAAUUUUGGGAUAGAAAAUAGAGCUUAGAGAAUAACGUAUCUGGGGUCUCCCUUUUAUAGGCGGAGGGAGC
rnacentral:lncRNA from 1 species